rnacentral:rRNA from 1 species
AUUGAACGCUGGCGGCAUGCCUUACACAUGCAAGUCGAACGGCAGCACGGGAGCAAUCCUGGUGGCGAGUGGCGAACGGGUGAGUAAUACAUCGGAACGUACCUGGUAGUGGGGGAUAGCCCGGCGAAAGCCGGAUUAAUACCGCAUACGACCUGAGGGUGAAAGCGGGGGAUCUUCGGACCUCGCGCUAUUGGAGCGGCCGAGGGCAGAUUAGCUAGUUGGUGGGGUAAAGGCCUACCAAGGCUACGAUCUGUAGCUGGUUUGAGAGGACGGACAGCCACACUGGGACUGAGACACGGCACAGACUCCUACGGGAGGCAGCAGUGGGGAAUCUUGGACAAUGGGCGCAAGCCUGAUCCAGCCAUGCCGCGUGCGGGAAGAAGGCCUUCGGGUUGUAAACCGCUUUUGGCAGGAACGAAACGGCGCAAGCUAAUACCUUGCGCUAAUGACGGUACCUGCAGAAUAAGCACCGGCUAACUACGUGCCAGCCGCCGCAGUAAAAC